rnacentral:lncRNA from 1 species
AUGGCAGACCUCUAUCUCCUGGUGCUCCCCGUUGCAAUCUUCCACCCCUGGGCCUUUGCCCUUCCUCCUGUCCUUAUGUUGUACCAGGGACAGGGCCCUAAUUGGCCCCCUACAGCGCUCCCUGCCUCCAACUCUUUGUUUUUGAGACAGGGUCUUGCUAUGUAGUAGAGGCAGUCCUCAAAUUCAUGAUCUCAACCUCUGCCUCCCAAGUGCUGGGAUUAAAGGCGUGAGCCACCACUGCCCAGCCUCAGACUGUGUUAAAAGCUAUCUCCACACCUAGCGAACAAAUGGAGAUUUAAAACUCAUUGUGUAUCUCUCUCCUUAGACUUCAGUCGUUUCUUACUCCCAAUUGCAAAGCCUCAAUCCAUCUCAAUCCAGUUUGGGGCUGUUUCCCCUUUGGCACUCAACCUUGUCCUCAGCACUAAGAACCAAGUCCAGUGGCUGAAGGAUCUAGACGAUACUCGUUCAUAGUUUCUUCUCUAUUUCUUCUGAGUCAGGGUUUCUCUGUGUAGCCUUAGCUGUCCUAGAACUCAUUUUAUAGAGUUCUCUGUGUAGCCUUAGCUUCGAACUCACAGAAAUCCUGUCUCUGCCUCCUGAGUACUAAGAUUAAAAGCACCCACCACCACACCCAGCUUCAAAUAGUUUUCGACAAAACAUUUAUUGAGUGAUUUUGUUUUGUCUUGUCUGGAGACUGGGGUCUCAUGUAGCUUAGACUGGACUCUAACUUGGAAGUUUUAUUUGUAGUAAGGUUUGUUUAUAGCCUGACUCCCCUGCAUCUACCUCCGGGUUACUGGCCGAUUUUUAAGAAGAGAGCUGGGGGCUGGAGAGAUGGAUCAGUGGUUAAGACCACUGGCUGUUCUUCCAGAGAAAGAUUCCCAGCACCCGCAUGGUGGCUCACAAUCACCACUAACUCUAUUCUCAGGGGAUCGCUCUGUCCUGGCCUCUGAAGGCACCAGGUACACACAUGGAGCACAGACAUGCAUGCAGGCAAAACAUCAUCACAUUAAAAGGGCCAGAUGUAGUGGUAUAUGCCUUUAAUCCCAGCACUCGGGAGGCAGAAGCACGUGAGUCUCUGUGAGUUUGAGGCCAGCCUGGUCUAUAAUAGCAAGUUCUAGGACAGCCAGGGUUAUGUAGAGAGACCCUGUCUCAAAGAAACAAAGUAUGGGAGGGAGGACUGUAACCAUGAAGGACGUUACUAGAUUGAAAUACUAAUCUUUGACUUUGUGGGCCAGAGAACCCCAUCUUUUCUCCAAUUGUUCUCAGACAAAAGUAUCUCUCUGUUAUUUUGGACUCCCCUUUGACCAGUGACGUAACACCCACACAGACCCAUCUGUAGUAUCCCAGGUCAGUUUGCUGGCAAGGGCUUCAACAUACCUGAAGCCGCUCCAGGCCCCUCUGUCUGCCUCCUUUCCCACCCGCUUCCCUUAGAAUAUCACGUGUGCUGUUCUCCCCUGCCAAACCAGCCUGGCCCUGGGGAGGUGGUGACACAUACGGAAUGUGGUCCACAGAUGAACUGAUGGCGACAAAGAACUUCUCAGUCAAGGUGAGGAGACUGCGCAGGGAGAUGUCUAAUCGUCUCUGCACUUCAGAGUGGCUCAGAGCCUGCUCAGGGGUGACGUCAUAGGGGAGAUGGCUGUGGGCAGAGAGAUGUGGUAAAGCUGGUGUCCCCUUCUGUUGCCUCCCUUCCCGGGCUUUCUCAUCAAUUUUUCUAUAUGGGCUUCUACAGAUAGGCUCAAGACAGACCAUUCCAAGAGAAGAGCCAGAGAAAAAGGCAGCACUCAGCAAGAACUAUAGCAGUGAGGAUUCACAGCUUAGGAGGGAGGAUGGAGGACAGCAGCAGGGAGGAUACACAGGGAGGAGGGAGGACUGCAGCAGGGAGGAUACACAGGGAGGAGGGAGGACUCAAGUGCUACCGAGCAGCUGGAACAGAGCAGGGAGAAAUGCCUGCCAGACCAAAGGCAGAUAGCAAGGUACUCUAUCAAAAUCAUCUUUGUAAACUGUGGUAGCAGAGAAAGUCAUGGCCCAAGUCUCCUAUAGGCGGGGCAUCACCUCUGCUUUCGUAUGUCACCUUCAAAUAUUCCCAGGCUUGCCUACAGAGCAAAGCAUGCCCUCCCACGUCCUGCUGGCUCACCUGCGCUGUCCAGUCUGGGCCUCCUCCUGGUUGAUCCAGCUCUUAUAGAUGUGGACAGGGUCUGUGUGGAUGCUGACUGACCUGUCUUCUAGCACAUCCUGGAUGACCUUGCCAAGGAUCUCCUGCAGAGCGCUCUGUCCCCGCCCAUUGCGGUAGAACCUCACCACCAGUCUCACCACUGUGGGGUUGCCUGUCACCACAUCCUGGGGCUGUUCCACCUUUGACCUGUGGUGCAAUAGGUCACUGGCCUCAUGCCUUUAAGGAGGACAUAGCUAUCUUUCUUUUGUCUUCCAGAUUUUGCCUGUUCAAGCCAACUCUAGUGCCCACCCUAAGAAUGGUCCCGCUGUCUGGAUGUCAUCCUUCCUGCUGACAAGUCAGCCUGCCACCCCUGCUGUGCUGUUGCAGAGCCUUACAUACUUCCUAUAAGGCGAAGAGUGGACUCCUGAUACCAUCCUAGGUGUGUAACAACAGCUGCCAUCUCUGACCCACCUUCCCUGUCCCCCACACUGGAGUCAGGAGAGCAUACUUUAUUUCCUCCUGGAGCGCCGUCCUGAACAGCUGGAGCAGAAGGUAGGCCUCCCGACGGUUGGAGGCAUAGUUGUACAGACUGAAAAUCACACCUUCCAUGAACUUGGUAGUUUUGUUCUGGGGCAUCUGAAAGAUCAGCUUGGCCAAAUAGAUGGGCUGAGUCUGUGAACGAUCAGGGAGACAGAGGGCUAGGAAUGGUCUUGGAGAAUUAGCAAUCAGAUGAGUUACAAAGGUUUUCCUGAUGUGGAGAAAGUAUCACCUUUCCCAGGGCACUGGAACAGGGCAUGAAGAAAGGCAAAGAAAAGGCCCUAUGCUCAGGAGGUGAUGGAGGCUUCUUGGAUUUUUUUAAUUGCUUUGGAUUCUUAGUGUUAUGUGUGUGCUGAGCAAGCACUCACCACCGUGCUACCAUCCCCCUACACCCCCAAGGCUCCUCCUGGGAAGAACUUUUUGCUCACCUGCAGCAGGUAGAAGAGGUGCUGGUAGGCUUCUAGCUUCUGCCGUUUCUCUCUGCUCAGUGACUUUAAUCCCUUCUGUUUGUCCAGGAUCAUCAUGUCCGACAGUUGCUCCUUAUUCUUCUUGGUCAGCUUCUUGCAGUGGGAGACUACCUCCUGGAUGUGGGUGUAGGGGCAAACCAAUGAGGCUGGACUGGUACCAAGCAUGAAACAUAUGGUCCAGACUCAGUGACUGGGAGAGCCAGGGCUCAUGAGAGGUGAGAAAGCCCUUGCCACUGCCCACAGCUCCACUUGGCGCCUCUGUUUUCAUAGGUGGGGCUUCAGAGCUCUGGGCUGCCAGGCAGAGGCCCUGUGCCUAUUGGGGCUUUUCCUUUUAUUUCUUAUCGACUAAUAUACAAUCUCAUGGGGGAAGACGUGACAGCAGCAUCAGCCUGUUACUCCACAUCUGAAUGUAAUUUAUAGGAGCUUCCGUAUCUGUCUCUGCAUUCUGCCAGGGAAGAGAUCAACUCCUUAUUCCAGCGAGCUAAAGGGGAGACAGACUUUGAGGUUAACUGAUUGAUCUCAAUCACCCAUGGCCCCAGCACUAGGACUCGGCAGAGCUGGCCGUUCAUAUUCUACCCGCAGGGUUCUUUCUUCUGCACUACACACAUCCAAUAGCUGACCAAGGGUGGAGAACCAUAGGCACAGGGGCCUGAGCCAGGUGGUAACCUACACACAUCUGAAGGACCGACUGAACUACCAGUUGAAGAAGGGGCAGGGCUCUCUCUCAGGAGCGGCAGGUCUUGGGGCAGCUCACCUGCAGGGUGAUGCGGUUCUUGACGAGCAGACCAAUCUUGAUGUCCAUGAGGUUGAGGUCCUGCUCCAGCUGCUGGUUAGAGCGGAUCUUCCUAACCACUUCCUCUUGGAGCUUUAGCAACUCCGAUUCAGCUGAGAAGUCCUCCUGACUCUGGUUCAAGAGGUGAGCGAAUUUUCGGACUACACAGAGGGGAGGAUGGCGUGCGUGCACUGGCAGGAGGGGAGACAUUGGUCAGGCAAGUGUCAGCAAGCCUCUGCCAGCACCUGCCCCAUGACGACCCCGUGCCCAACCCCAGGCCUCUCCUAACUGCUAGGUCUACCGAUAAGCUUUGUCUCACAUCUAGAGAUGUCACGGCUGUUCUCUAUACCCUUCAUGUACCAACCAUGCUGGCAUCUCUGGUGACUUUUCCCACCAAACCAGGGCCACAACCCUUCUCCAUGGUCUGCAAAAGCACCCUGGUUCUAUCGCACCUGUCCCCCUUCCUGCUGGCCUGACCCGUCUCUCAUGCCCACCCCCCGCCUGUCGUCUACCACAUAGCUCUGCCCGCUGCAUGUAGCACCUGUGAGGAGUGUCCUUGAGGUAAGGUGGUCAACUUUAUAAUGAAG